UCUUAUUUCGUGACUAUGUAAAUGAAUCACGUCCAUCCAGCCGUUAUCGAUUCUUUGUACUGUUGAUUUAUAAGUAGAAAGUAACCGUUGGUCAUGUCGGCUAAUUUCAGGGAUUAUUGUUAAUACAGAUGCUGAUAGUUUAUGAAUGCAAGAAUUGAUUAGACAAUACGAAGAUUAAAAUAUUACUUUAAUAAUAAUCAAUAAAUAGAAAAAUUUUUUCAAAUGCAAAAAAGGUGAAGACACUAGCGUAACGUGCUUUCACCUUCAAUCAAAGAUGAAGGAAGAUGAAAGGACUGGUUCAAAGAAUCAACGAAAUUAUAAAUAAAUUUAAGCAUUGUCUGUAUAUUUGUAUUAUGCACUUUUAUACGUCAUUUUUAAGCGAAUUAUUAUAUAUUGUCUAGUUGAAUGUAUUUCACCGUGUAUUCUUAUUAAAAAGAUAAUUAUAAUUAAUAAUAAAUUAUUGUAAAU